rnacentral:rRNA from 1 species
GACGUAGGGCGCGAGCGUUGUCCGGAUUUAUUGGGCGUAAAGAGCUCGUAGGCGGUUUGUCGCGUCUGCUGUGAAAACCCGAGGCUCAACCUCGGGCCUGCAGUGGGUACGGGCAGACUAGAGUGCGGUAGGGGAGAUUGGAAUUCCUGGUGUAGCGGUGGAAUGCGCAGAUAUCAGGAGGAACACCAAUGGCGAAGGCGGGUUGCUGGGCUGACACUGACGCUGAUGCGCGAAAGCCAGGGGAGCGAACGGG